rnacentral:lncRNA from 13 species
GCAGAUAGAUUUGACCUCAUAUGCUGUUGUAUGUUCCAUCUCCAGGGAAGUGGAAAUGCUGAAGGACUUCCAGCCACCAGCUUGUGCCUGUGUUACCUGACCCAACCAGAGAUUCAGACACACCUACUGUCUGUAGCAGCGUGCCAAUCCUUGGUACCCUGUGAUCCCCCGACGCUGAACUUCCAUCCAGUUGGAAUAUGCAUUAUGGAGGGGAACCAAGAAGACGUCAUGUCGCAAGGCAUCACGGGAAGAGGAUUUUGGCUGGCGGAGGGAGCGCAGGAAUGGCGUCGGACAGACAGUGUGACCCAGGGCUCAGGUGGCAGCUGUGCUACGACUUCUCUGCCAGGUCAUGGUGGAUGUGGCUUUGAAGAACUGUGGCUGGAGCUUUAACUGAAAGAGUGGGAGCUGGCACAGAGAGAAGUGUGUAUCAUCGUUUACUUUAUUCUUGUCAUGAUUAACAGCAUCUCACCAAGCACUUCACUCAUGCACACAUGUGCAAACAAUACACACACAUCCAAAACUCAUACAAACAUUUACCUUUCUUAUAAACACAUGAGCACACACACACAGGCAGAGUUAAUAAGGACCUCUAAACCCUCCUUGCUGGUGGAUGAUAAGCGGUGUGCUGGUAGCCCUGCCCUCCUGAGACAUGCCUUCCUCUAGCGGUGCCGUGUAGGAGCCUGAUAAGGCUGGGGAGUGUGGGAUAGCCAGGGACCAGGGACAGCUCCACUCCAACAACCUGCAGCAGCCACCCUGGCUCCAGGGCCAGCCAAUCACAGCCCUCUGUCACAUGCUAUUUAUCUCACCGCUGGGUGCCUGGAGCUAGACUCUAUACCUGGACUGGUUAGCUGUCUGCCUUUGUUACAUACAGGGCUGUGGUAAUAAGCCUAAUGCAUCAUGUGUGUGUGUGUGUGUGUGUGUGUCUGUGUGUGUGUCUGUGUGUGUGUNNNNNNNNNNNNNNNGGGGGGUGGGGGGUGAGUCAUGAAUAUUCAUAUUCUCUUGGAUCCACUCUACCAAACAGAGUCUGCCACUGCUAAGGAGGCUCUACCCAUCGAUGGGUGGGAAAAGAGGGAGGAAGAUGGGGGAAACUGCAGUGAGAAAAGAAGGUGGAAUUGAGAUGGGAGGAUUGAGAGGGUACCGGACCAGACCAGACUGUAUGGCCCGGUUCCAUAAAACAAUGCUUUCCUCUCAGAGGUGUGAAAGAGUGAACACAGGAAGCAGAGGGAUGGAGCGUGGGAUGGG